rnacentral:rRNA from 1 species
AUUUACAUUUGAGUGAGUGGCGAACUGGUGAGUAACACGUGGGAAACCUGCCCAGAAAGGGGGAUAACACCUGGAAACAGAUGCUAAUACCGCAUAACAACUCGGACCGCAUGGUCCGAGCUUGAAAGAUGGCUUCGGCUAUCACUUUUGGAUGGUCCCGCGGCGUAUUAGCUAGAUGGUGGGGCAACGGCUCACCAAGGCAGUGAUACGUAGCCGACCUGAGAGGGUAAUCGGCCACAUUGGGACUGAGACACGGCCCAGACUCC